GGAUUGAUGAUGAAACAAUUCUCUGAAUAUGGUGAAAAAGUCACAAAAAAUGGCAAUUGGAGAUCC